rnacentral:tRNA from 1 species
UCCCUGGUGGCCCAGAUGGUUAAGUAUCUGCCUGCCAUGCAGGCAACCCAGGUUCAAUCCCUGGGUUGGGAA